UACGAACAUUUCAACAGCCCACAUCCCACCCCUGCACCUGCGGACAUCAGCCAGAAGCAAGUUCACAGGCCUCUGCAGACCCCUGACCUCUCUGGCUUCUACUCCCUGACCUCAGGCAGCAUGGGGCAGCUCCCCCACACUGUGAGCUGGCCCAGCCCUCCUCUCUACCCCCUGUCCCCUUCCUGCGGAUAUAGACAGCACUUCCCUGCCCCCACUGCAGCCCCUGGCGCCCCCUACCCCAGCCCCCUGCUGUCCUGUGCCUGAGAAUGAAGCUAGUGCAAGUGCCAAGAGGCCUCAGCCUGGGCCACACCGUGCAGCAGAGCACCACAGAGGCCAGGACAGUACAGGCAUAUGUGGCUCAGCCCGUGUGCAGAUGUGUGUGCACUCACCUCUGUUCUUCAUCCCUACUUAGAAGGACUCUCCUGGGCAUCCCCUGAGCUUUGCCCAAGCUGAGACAGCACCUUUUACCUAAGUCCCCAACCUCUGACCCUUAGGGGCUGCUGGCUCAGGGAUAAUACCUGUGCAAGCAGUAAGGGGCAGAAUGGUCUCCACAGAAUAGCAAGAAAGUGAAG
rnacentral:lncRNA from 10 species